GUAACUGUCAUAUUUACUGAAUACCUUGAAAUAGGGAUACUAUAUCUUAAGAACCUUAAAUUUGAAAAUUCUGGAAUACAAUUAACAAAAAACCGUAUUUAGUAUAGUCCGGAAAAUAUUCACUUAACUGAUAAAUAAUUAACUUUCUGUAGCGUAAUCUUGGUCUACUCCAUGGUAACAAUUCACUGAUGAAUUUAACUUUUAGGAUUAAACAAAGGCAUAUCAAAAACAAGAAUAACUCCAUUGUAAACAAAAAACUCAUCAGAAUAUUGAAUAUUCUAUUGCGAUAAAACUUUUGUACAAUUGUUUGAUAAUAAAAUGGAGAAUUCCGAUCCAAUUAAAAAAUCUAGAGUUGAUUUAUCUUCAUUGCCCACAAGGCAAUAUUUAGAUCAAACCAUAGUGCCUAUAUUGUUGAGUGCCCUUUCAUAUCUUGCUAAAGAACGACCUGAUGAACCCAUUGCUGCAUUAGCAUCAUUUCUAAUGAAGAAUAAAUCAGCUUAUGAAAGUAGUUCCGAAACAUCAACCUCAAUUAAUGAAGCAAAUAACAGUGAAGAGAAAUCUUGAAUCAUAAAGACAUUCAUGUGAAAAUCUAAUACAUUUCAUUUAUUCAAAUGCUUAAUGUUUAAUUUUUAAAGUUUAUAAUCUGAAUUAAAAUGAAGAAGAAGCAGUA